rnacentral:rRNA from 1 species
UGGGGAAUAUUGCACAAUGGGCGCAAGCCUGAUGCAGCCAUGCCGCGUGUGUGAAGAAGGCCUCGGGUUGUAAAGCACUUUCAGCGAGGAGGAAGGUGGUGAGCUUAAUACGCUCAUCAAUUGACGUUACUCGCAGAAGAAGCACCGGCUAACUCCGUGCCAGCAGCCGCGGUAAUACGGAGGGUGCAAGCGUUAAUCGGAAUUACUGGGCGUAAAGCGCACGCAGGCGGUUUGUUAAGUCAGAUGUGAAAUCCCCGGGCUCAACCUGGGAACUGCAUUUGAAACUGGCAAGCUAGAGUCUCGUAGAGGGGGGUAGAAUUCCAGGUGUAGCGGUGAAAUGCGUAGAGAUCUGGAGGAAUACCGGUGGCGAAGGCGGCCCCCUGGACGAAGACUGACGCUCAGGUGCGAAAGGCGUGGGGCAGCAAACAGGAUUAGAUACCCUGGUAGUCCACGCUGUAAACGAUGUCGAUUUUGGAGGUUGUGCCCUUGAGGCGUGGCUUCCGGAGCUAACGCGUUAAAUCGACCG